CGGCAUCGGUAGGUGGCAGGAGAUACCGCGGAAUGCAGAGCCGAGUGCAAGCCUGGCGUGUGCUCCGAAGGCCUUAAACUAAUAAGAAUAAUUAAAAGUGCUUAAGUUGUUGCUGGAGUCAAUAUAACAAUUAUUGCGAUAUGUCGACACGCUUUUAAAAAGGCUGCAGCUUCUAUUCUUCAAGUUGUGGGAGCUUGAAAAAUGCAUUUGUGAGUGAGUUCACUUUGGAAAAAAAAUCACCGAGCCUGCCAGAGCUGUCCACAGGGGAAACUAUGCUGAGACUGUAAACUAUGCAGGCUGAGAGGGGAGUGGACAUAUUUUAAGGGCACAACCUAAACAAAACCCUUCUGUUUCCACGAGCUCUCCCUGGCAGCCCCACCUGAUCCGCCCUUCCCUAGGAAGGACGUGUUUGUGUCUCCAGAGGGCUGCCAGCCCCUCUCAGCACAGCAUCCUGCCCAUCUUGCUUCCUCUCCCUCCCUUCAUUUUGGCUGGGAUCUGGAGCCGAGGCAAAGAGGAGGAAUUUUUUCAGAGAGCAGUACCUUACCUUGCUCUGGCAGGAAGAAACCUGUGUCCAUGCCCAGCUGCAUAUCUUUCCUGUGGUAAAAUAUCUUUUUAAUUUUCCAAAUUAAUUUUUUUCUCCAGUUUUUCUGGGCUGUGGCAAAGCCCUGGCCUGGCUGUGGUCCCAGCUGCUGGCCGAGCUGCCUUCCCAGCCCGUCUCUGGAGCCUGUCUCCUCCAGCCUUUUUGCAUCAACCUUCUGCUGUACCUGGCACAGAUGGAUGAUGGAGGAGAGCUGCCCUGUCUAUGGAAUCUAAAGAAACACUCUCCUGACUCCUGCUGUGAGCCUUCUGCAAGUGUUUUUGUGUUUAAAACUCCCAGCCCCGUGUGCAUCCUAUGGAGAAGUUGUGGCACCCCAGGGGAACCGACACCAAACCCAGUUUGGGUUCCUGGUCAGUCCUCUGACCCAGCAAAGCCAAGCCAGGGACAGCAGCCCUGAUGGAGCUACAAGGGCCAUGGACACCCAUGGCAGAGGGUUCCUCAGUGUCCCCUUGGCUUGGGAAGAGGUGCUGUGCUGUCCCUGUGCUCCCUUCCCAGAACUGCUGCUUGGGCCAUCAGCCCUGAGGCAGCGCUGUGGGGAAAGGAGAAGACAUGGCCCCAAACUGGUACCUGUCCCAUUCUGCUGCUAAACUCCAGCUGGGGCUUUUGACACCAGCUGUCAGCUCUGAUUACCUGUCACUGUUGUAACAACACUGUCAGGCUGCUGGGCUGCCAGUGCUUGGAGGAAUUGGAGAAUUUUUAUGCAGGUUUGGGGUUUUUAAUUUUAUCGAUUAAUUUGGCAGAGUAGUGGAGCAGGGUUUUUUGCCAAGUUUCAAUACACAUUUAACUGCUGAGAAACUUUCUAGAGGAAAACAUUUUACAUUUAUUUAGAAAGAAGAAGCAUUAAAGAGAUUAAAUUUAUCAGGGUCAUCCGAUGUAAGUCAAGAGUUCUUUUCAUGUAAAAUCAAUAUGCGUGAAUUAUACGGACAAAAAUUGGAGGUUAACUCACUCAUUACUCACGUGGUGCUCAGGAUAAUAAAUGUUUGAUGCUGGAGCAUUACUGAUAAUUUAUUAGGCAUGGAGUAAUAGGUAAAACAAAAUGACAGGAAAGGAUGGAGAAGAGAAUUAAUAGGAGAGGGAAGAACGGCAGGGGCCAUACAGGUCAUUGUCAUCUUAUUGAAUUUCAUGUCCAAGCUACCAGUGGCUUAAAAGAGAUGGUGUGAGGCCAUCUGACUUCCAAGGUGAAGGGCUGGCUAAUGGGAAGAGCUGUGGAAGGUGUGGGAGGACAGCCCAGCAUGGGAGGGCUGGUGCCUUGAGGGGCUGAUGUCUGCUAUGCUUGGACAGGGCAGAAAAGGGGGUAUGGAUGGGACAUGGCUUGGGAAGAAGUGAUGCUGCAUCUCGUGCACCAGAGCCAGCAGUGUCUGCACCCAGCAAGGGCUGGAGACUUGAAAUCUGCUUGCCUGCUGCUGAAGGGCUUCUCUGAGGGCUGGGUCUCAGUGCCAUUUCCCUCCUGUCAGCCUGCUCCAUCUGUCACAGUGACGCUUGUCAUGCUGUUGGCACCUCUGCUGCUCAGCCAGGGCUGUUUGACACUGGUCAGAAGCUUCUGGGGAAACGGAGGCUGGGCUGGCUGGUUUGUUAAAUGUGUGAUGAUUGAGUGAGGUUUAUGUUA